UAUAUGGAGCCACAGUUGACAGUGCAUGUCAAAGCACAAAACAAGCAUGAAGUCAAAGGAAUUGUCUGUUGACCUGUGAGACAGGAUUCUCUUGAGGUACAAAUCUAGGGAAGGGUACAUAAACCUUUCUGUUGCUUUGAAGGUCCCAAUGACCACAGUGG